GCGUGAAUAUGUCGUCACAUA
rnacentral:siRNA from 1 species